rnacentral:tRNA from 1 species
GCGGGAAUAGCUCAGUUGGUAGAGCACCGACCUUGCCAAGGUCGGGGUCGCGAGUUCGAGUCUCGUUUCCCGCUCCA